AUUUUCUCGGCUUAGACAAUGUUUAUUUUUAAAAUUACUUCGCCAAUGAACUCGUAAGAUGGGUAAUCGUAUUUUAAGCACGUUUUCGGAUCGAGUUUGUCGGUAUCAGAUAAAGAUCGGCUGCUCAUGUUUUAACUAUUACAUAUUGUGGUCCUAUCAGUAAACUGAUGAACGACCAGACAGCACUAGUAAUUGUGCUAGAAGCGUUGCGAAAUAUCCAGGGACGCCGGAACUGGGGGGGCAGGGGGUGCGGCUGCCCCCCUUGCCUUUUGCUAGGGGGGGGCAGGGGGGCAGAAGUGCCCUUUUAGUUGUAAAAUAAUACGUGAUAAAUCACAUUUCCAACGAUGCUUUUUGUAGGAAAAUCACGAGAUUCAGGUAAUUUAUAGUUUAUAUUUAUAAAAAUUUGGGGAAAUUUUUGGAAUUUAGAAAAAUAGUUUGAAGAAAUGGCGAAA